UGGGGGAUAUUGCACAAUGGGGGGGAACCCUGAUGCAGCGACGCCGCGUGAAGGAAGAAGUAUCUCGGUAUGUAAACUUCUAUCAGCAGGGAAGAAAAUGACGGUACCUGACUAAGAAGCCCCGGCUAACUACGUGCC
rnacentral:rRNA from 1 species